rnacentral:rRNA from 1 species
AAAACGCCGUGCUUAACACGGCGCUUGCUUUCGAUACGGGCAGACUAGAGGUAUGCAGGGGAGACUGGAAUUCCUGGUGUAGCGGUGGAAUGCGCAGAUAUCAGGAGGAACACCAAUGGCGAAGGCAGGUCUCUGGGCCAUAACUGACACUGAGGAGCGAAAGUGCGGGGAGCGAACAGGAUUAGAUACCCUGGUAGUCCGCACCGUAAACGGUGGGCACUAGUUGUGGGAACCUUCCACGGUUUCCGCGACGCAGCAAACGCAUUAAGUGCCCCGCCUGGGGAGUACGAUCGCAAGAUUAAAACUCAAAGGAAUUGACGGGGCCCCGCACAAGCAGCGGAGCAUGCGG